rnacentral:rRNA from 1 species
AACGCGAAGAACCUUACCGGGGUUUGAACCGUACGGGACAGCUGCAGAGAUGUAGUUUUCCUUCGGGACCCGUAUAGAGGUGCUGCAUGGCUGUCGUCAGCUCGUGUCGUGAGAUGUUGGGUUAAGUCCCGCAACGAGCGCAACCCUUGCCUCCUGUUGCCAACAGGUAAAGCUGGGCACUCUGGAGAGACUGCCGGUGAUAAACCGGAGGAAGGUGGGGAUGACGUCAAGUCCUCAUGGCCUUUAUGCCCCGGGCUACACACGUGCUACAAUGGCUGGUACAAAGGGUCGCAAAACCGCGAGGUGGAGCUAAUCCCAAAAAACCAGUCCCAGUUCGGAUUGGAGUCUGCAACUCGACUCCAUGAAGUUGGAAUCGCUAGUAAUCGCGGAUCAGCACGCCGCGGUGAAUACGUUCCCGGGCCUUGUA